rnacentral:misc_RNA from 1 species
AUGGUUGACUGGAAAAAAAAAAAAAAAAAAGAAUUGUUCUUUCUUUAUUAGGUUUGAUUAUUUAUGGAAAGUGAAGCAAGGGGGAAUGUAUCUAUCUGCAGUAGAUAUAGCAGCAAUUUGUUCUGCAGUUGUUUAGGAAGUUAGUGCGUGUGAAAUCCAAAAAAGUAGACUCGGCAUGUCCGAAUAUUAAAUUGCCUCCAAAAACAAAAAAGGGAAAAGGAAGCCACUUCUUGUCACUUAAGAGGUGCUCAAUAGGUACAAAAAUAUAAAGCCUUAGUCUGAAAUCACAAUAAUGGCUGAAAAAAAC